AAAUAAUAUCAUGAAUUCCUGAAUCACAAUUUGUUUUUACUAUGAGAAUUUUUUAUAUGUACCUUCACAUACAUUUUUGACUUGAACUCCUUACCACAUAUCUCACAAGCGUGUAACAUUCCAUCAUUGUACCAAUGGCAUCUGCCAACGUUACACUUGUCCAGUGCGAGGUUGAAUAUUGUUAGAAUACCGUCAUGAAUUCGUGAAUUAAGUUUUCUUUUUGUAAUGAGAAUUUUUUACAUGUAUCUUCACAUAUCUUUUCGACUUGAACUCCUUACCACAAAUUUUGCAUUCAUGUAACUUUCCAUCAUUGUAGUGAACACGUCUCAUAUGA